rnacentral:rRNA from 1 species
GGAAAUCUCACCAGGCCCGGACACUGGAAGGAUUGACAGAUUGAGAGCUCUUUCUCGAUUCGGUGGGUGGUGGUGCAUGGCCGUUCUUAGUUGGUGGAGCGAUCUGUCUGGUUAAUUCCGAUAACGAACGAGACCCCAACCUGCUAACUAGCCCUCGGGUCCUGCUUCUGUUGGGCCCGACGGAAUGAUUCGCUUCUUAGAGGGACUCGCGGCGCCUAGCCGCACGAAGGGGGGCGAUAA